rnacentral:rRNA from 1 species
UCAAGAACGAAAGUUAGGGGAUCAAAGAUGAUCAGAUACCGUCGUAGUCUUAACCGUAAACUAUGCCGACUGAGAAUGGGUACCGCUUAUACGGUAUCCGCGCUCUACGAGAAAUCAAAGUGAUCAGGUUCUGGGGGGAGUAUGGUCGCAAGGCUGAAACUUAAAGGAAUUGACGGAAGGGCACCACCAGGAGUG